rnacentral:rRNA from 1 species
UACAGAGGGGGCAAGCGUUGUUCGGAAUUACUGGGCGUAAAGGGCGCGUAGGCGGCCUUCUAAGUCGAACGUGAAAUCCCCGGGCUCAACCCGGGAACUGCGUCCGAUACUGGGAGGCUUGAAUCCGGGAGAGGGAUGUGGAAUUCCAGGUGUAGCGGUGAAAUGCGUAGAUAUCAGGAGGAACACCAAUUGCGAAGGCAGCUCGCUGGGACGUUACUGACGCUGAUGCGCGAAAGCGUGGGGAGCAAACAGG